rnacentral:misc_RNA from 1 species
AUAAUAUAUAGGUUCAGUUUAUUUUGCCAAUCUUAACCAUUUUCUCGUUAAAAUAUUGACAAUGUCAUUUGUAUUCGAAGCAGUUACCUUUGUUAUGGUAAAUGGUUUAUUCCAUACAAAUGCAGACUGCAAGCUAACACGUAUACCAACACGAGAAGUGCGUGUAACAAGUUAUUAAAAAAUUACACCGGAUAUCAGGUACUUUUUCAUAUUUUAAUGGAAUAAUGCGAAUAGUGCGCAAGAAAACACUUUCAUAUAUCGUUGUAACUUUUAAGUAGUAAUUACGAUUAAUAACUUAUUAA